CAUGGCUCAGAUUGAACGCUGGCGGCAGGCCUAACACAUGCAAGUCGAGCGGAUGAAGGGAGCUUGCUCCUGGAUUCAGCGGCGGGCGGGUGAGUAACGCCUAGGAAUCUGCCUGGUAGUGGGGGAUAACGUCCGGAAACGGGCGCUAAUACCGCAUACGUCCUGAGGGAGAAAGUGGGGGAUCUUCGGACCUCACGCUAUCAGAUGAGCCUAGGUCGGAUUAGCUAGUUGGUGGGGUAAAGGCCUACCAAGGCGACGAUCCGUAACUGGUCUGAGAGGAUGAUCAGUCACACUGGAACUGAGACACGGUCCAGACUCCUACGGGAGGCAGCAGUGGGGAAUAUUGGACAAUGGGCGAAAGCCUGAUCCAGCCAUGCCGCGUGUGUGAAGAAGGUCUUCGGAUUGUAAAGCACUUUAAGUUGGGAGGAAGGGCAGUAAGUUAAUACCUUGCUGUUUUGACGUUACCAACAGAAUAAGCACCGGCUAACUUCGUGCCAGCAGCCGCGGUAAUACGAAGGGUGCAAGCGUUAAUCGGAAUUACUGGGCGUAAAGCGCGCGUAGGUGGUUCAGCAAGUUGGAUGUGAAAUCCCCGGGCUCAACCUGGGAACUGCAUCCAAAACUACUGAGCUAGAGUACGGUAGAGGGUGGUGGAAUUUCCUGUGUAGCGGUGAAAUGCGUAGAUAUAGGAAGGAACACCAGUGGCGAAGGCGACCACCUGGACUGAUACUGACACUGAGGUGCGAAAGCGUGGGGAGCAAACAGGAUUAGAUACCCUGGUAGUCCACGCCGUAAACGAUGUCGACUAGCCGUUGGGAUCCUUGAGAUCUUAGUGGCGCAGCUAACGCGAUAAGUCGACCGCCUGGGGAGUACGGCCGCAAGGUUAAAACUCAAAUGAAUUGACGGGGGCCCGCACAAGCGGUGGAGCAUGUGGUUUAAUUCGAAGCAACGCGAAGAACCUUACCUGGCCUUGACAUGCUGAGAACUUUCCAGAGAUGGAUUGGUGCCUUCGGGAACUCAGACACAGGUGCUGCACGGCUGUCGUCAGCUCGUGUCGUGAGAUGUUGGGUUAAGUCCCGUAACGAGCGCAACCCUUGUCCUUAGUUACCAGCACCUCGGGUGGGCACUCUAAGGAGACUGCCGGUGACAAACCGGAGGAAGGUGGGGAUGACGUCAAGUCGUCAUGGCCCUUACGGCCAGGGCUACACACGUGCUACAAUGGUCGGUACAAAGGGUUGCCAAGCCGCGAGGUGGAGCUAAUCCCAUAAAACCGAUCGUAGUCCGGAUCGCAGUCUGCAACUCGACUGCGUGAAGUCGGAAUCGCUAGUAAUCGUGAAUCAGAAUGUCACGGUGAAUACGUUCCCGGGCCUUGUACACACCGCCCGUCACACCAUGGGAGUGGGUUGCUCCAGAAGUAGCUAGUCUAACCGCAAGGGGGACGGUUACCACGGAGUGAUUCAUGACUGGGGUGAAGUCGUAACAAGGUAGCCGU
rnacentral:rRNA from 1 species